AUUGAACGCUGGCGGCAUGCUUUACACAUGCAAGUCGAACGGCAGCGCGGGCUUCGGCCUGGCGGCGAGUGGCGAACGGGUGAGUAAUACAUCGGAACGUGCCCAGUAGUGGGGGAUAGCUCGGCGAAAGCCGGAUUAAUACCGCAUACGACCUGAGGGUGAAAGCGGGGGAUCUUCGGACCUCGCGCGAUUGGAGCGGCCGAUGGCAGAUUAGCUAGUUGGUGGGGUAAAGGCCUACCAAGGCGACGAUCUGUAGCUGGUCUGAGAGGACGACUAGCCACACUGGGACUGAGACACGGCCCAGACUCCUACGGGAGGCAGCAGUGGGGAAUUUUGGACAAUGGGCGAAAGCCUGAUCCAGCAAUGCCGCGUGUGUGAUGAAGGCCUUCGGGUUGUAAAGCACUUUUGGCGGGAAGGAAAAGGACUGUGCCAAUACCACGGUUCGAUGACGGUACCCGCAGAAUAAGCACCGGCUAACUACGUG
rnacentral:rRNA from 1 species